GUCGGCCCCGAGAGGGGCUCGACAUAUAAUCUAACAAAUAAACGAUACAGAGAAGAUUAGCAGUGCCCCAGAAAAUGGAUGGCCCUCAAAUGUUCAGAAGAGCAGCUUUCUUCG
rfam:Tstilago hordei, Th4857-4, WGS project CAGI01000000 data, contig: THOR_scaffold_5.00053